rnacentral:rRNA from 1 species
AGAGUUUGAUCAUGGCUCAGGAUGAACGCUAGCUACAGGCUUAACACAUGCAAGUCGAGGGGAAACGACAUCGAAAGCUUGCUUUUGAUGGGCGUCGACCGGCGCACGGGUGAGUAACGCGUAUCCAACCUGCCCACCACUUGGGGAUAACCUUGCGAAAGUAAGACUAAUACCCAAUGAUAUCUCUAGAAGACAUCUGAAAGAGAUUAAAGAUUUAUCGGUGAUGGAUGGGGAUGCGUCUGAUUAGCUUGUUGGCGGGGUAACGGCCCACAAGGCGACGAUCAGUAGGGGUCUGAGAGGAAGGUCCCCCANAUUGGAACUGAGACACGGUCCAAACUCCGUACGGGAGCA